rnacentral:tRNA from 1 species
GGUGGUCGUAGCUUAAUUGGUUAAAGCGCCGCGCUGUGGCCGCGGAGAUUGCGGGAUCGUGACCCGUCGACCACCCCCA